rnacentral:lncRNA from 1 species
UUAUUAUGUAAUACAUUUACAUCAGUUUUAUAUUUUUGUAGUACUCUUUAUAACCUUAAAUUUGGGGAAAGAAAAUAAAGCAUAAACACUUUGUUAAGGAAACAUCUUCAUUUUCAGGUUACUUAAUUUGUGAUUAGAUUGUAAAAGGACUAGCCGCUCUGCUUCUAAUGAGCCAUGGUAAAGAAUAUAGCAUAAGCAAAUGGCAUUUUUUUUUUGCUUUCCAGGAUUAUUUUUUUAGCUCUCUUCCUACUGAGUCACAGAAUUCUUAGACCCUUUUCUUUUUCUAAAAAUUUAAGUACAUUGUUUAAAGGAC